rnacentral:rRNA from 1 species
CAGUCGCCGCGGUAAUACGUAGGGUGCAAGCGUUAAUCGGAAUUACUGGGCGUAAAGCGUGCGUAGGUGGUGGUUUAAGUCCGUUGUGAAAGCCCUGGGCUCAACCUGGGAAUUGCAGUGGAUACUGGGUCACUAGAGUGUGGUAGAGGAUAGUGGAAUUUCCGGUGUAGCAGUGAAAUGCGUAGAGAUCGGAAGGAACAUCUGUGGCGAAGGCGACUAUCUGGGCCAACACUGACACUGAGGCACGAAAGCGUGGGGAGCAAACAGGAUUAGAUACCCGAGUAGUCCCUGUCUCUUAUAU